AUCAACAGGUUCUUCUGAUCAACUGAAAACUCGAGAAGGCAAUCACUAGGAAUUUGGGCAAAAGGUCCAAAGUAAUCGUCCAAGAUCGGAAAAUAACUUCGAGGCAAUUGUAUAUUACCUCACCUUGAUUAACAGCUUCUAAUAAACUACUAACUCAAGAAGGAGCAAUCACUUGGUAUUUAAGUACACAAUCUUCAAAUGAUGUUCAACUAUUGAACAGCAUUCAACUUGUAUCGAGCUCAACACUAUUCAAUAACCGACACCACACUGCUUAGGAUCCAAAUCCAUCAAACUAAUCAGCAGCAUCUUCUGGUAAACCAAGAACCCGAGAGGACAAUCACUAGAUAUCAUCAAAAUACAUUUUCUAAGAACUGUCCGACUUCCAACACUUCACUUAUUAGUAUCCAAGUCUAUUAAACUAAUCAACAGCUUCUUCUAAUCAACUGAAAACUCGAGAUGGCAAUCACCAGGCAUUCAAACAAAAGGUCGAAAGUAAUAGUCCAAUAUCGGUAAAUAACUACAAGGGCCUCUUGACUAGCAGCUUCUAGUAAACCACUAACUUAAGAAGAGCAAUCACUUGUUAUUAGAGCACACAAUCUUCAAAUAAUGUUCAUCUAUUGAAUAGCAUUCAACUUAUAUCGACUUCAGGACUAUCCAAUCUCCGACACUAAACUGCUUAGGA